rnacentral:tRNA from 1 species
UGGCGAGUGGCCAAGCGGUAAGGCGCCUGACUCUGGAUCAGGAGAUCGUAGGUUCGAAUCCUACCUCGCCAG